GUCAGUUUGGCCGAGUGGUUAAGGCGCCGUGUUUAGGUAAAAUAUUCCUGCGAUAUUACCAUAAACCCGCGGUGGGAAACCGCGCAGGUUCGAAUCCUGCAGCUGACA